ACUGAACGCUGGCGGCAUGCCUUACACAUGCAAGUCGAACGGUAACAGGUCUUCGGAUGCUGACGAGUGGCGAACGGGUGAGUAAUACAUCGGAACGUGCCUAGUAGUGGGGGACAACUACUCGAAAGAGUGGCUAAUACCUCAUGAGAUUAACGGAUGAAAGCAGGGGAUCGCAAGACCUUGUGCUAUCAGAGCAGACGAUGGCAUAGUAGGUAGUAGGUGGGAUAAAAGCUUACCAAGCCGACGAGCUGUAGCUGGUCUGAGAGGACGAUCAGCCCAACUGGGACUGAGACACGGCCCAGACUCAUACGGGAGGCAGCAGUGGGGAAUUUUGGACAAUGGGCGCAAGCCUGAUCCAGCAAUGCCGCGUGCAGGAUGAAGGCCUUCGGGUUGUAAACUGCUUUUGUACGGAACGAAAAGCCCUGGGUUAAUACCCUGGGGUCAUGACGGUACCGUAAGAAUAAGCACCGGCUAACUACGUGCCAGCAGCCGCGGUAAAAC
rnacentral:rRNA from 1 species